AUACAGAGGGUGCGAGCGUUAAUCGGAAUUACCGGGCGUAAAGCGCGCGUAGGCGGCUUAUUAAGUCAGAUGUGAAAUCCCCGGGCUCAACCUGGGAACUGCAUCUGAUACUGGUAAGCUAGAGUUUUGGAGAGGGAAGUAGAAUUUCAGGUGUAGCGGUGAAAUGCAUAGAGAUCUGAAGGAAUACCAGUGGCGAAGGCGACUUCCUGGCCAAAAACUGACGCUGAGGUGCGAAAGCGUGGGUAGCAAACGGGAUUAGAAACCCUGGUAGUCC
rnacentral:rRNA from 1 species